rnacentral:tRNA from 15 species
GGUUCCGUGGUCUAGCUGGUCAUGGCAUCUCGUUAACACCGAGAAGGUCCCCGGUUCGAGCCCGGGCGGAAUCA